UCCUAGGACCAUUUUAUUUCAACUGAAAGCCCAAAGUUCCAAUACAAUUCUGAAAAGGAAGGAACCUGAACCCAACAAUUGGGCUAUGUCCGAAAAUCCCUAAUAUCCGAAAGCACCUAUCUGUCCACUCUUCAUUCUUACAUUUCCACAAAAUCCGCCGCCUGUGAAGGAUGUUACCUAGCUGUUGUCGCUAAAAUUCCCAACUUUUCCUUUGGGAUGUCAUGAAUCUGGUAAACUUAAUGUCACUUAUUUUUGUGUCAUUACUACGUGCUGCUUGAACUUCACCCAUAUCCUCUUGUUUCAGCUGUCUCCAACAGUUCUUCAUCUCUUAGCUUGUAAAUACUCUGUAAAUAUAUGGGUUUGUGUAUGUGUUAUAUCCUUUUCUGCACUACUAGGAUGAAAAGACAUUUCCUUCCUUGCUUGUUAUGCAUUUCAUGGUUAUUAAACUUGUAGACACGUAAUUUCGUCCCUUCACAACUUAAUUUUAUCGUUUAUCCCGUCUUACCACGUAUACUAUACGCAUGGUAAUUUUUCCACAAGAAAAAUAAAAUAAAUAACCAUCUCAUCACUUUAUUUAUUUUUUAUCCUUAUCCAAAAUAACAAAUCCUAACAAAUUUUAUCUUGUUUUAAAUAUUCCAACAACCUCUCCAAUUAAAAGAGGACCUCACACCUCACCAUCCAUAUCCCUAGCCUCACCUACCCUAUCCCUACCCCUCACCCGUUCACGUGCGCCCCCUACCCCACCCUUUUUUUAUCACAUUUUCCUUUUCAUUUUCGAAGAAGGAAAAAGGCAAUACAUCACAACAACUGGAAGGGGGAUCCAAUAUACACUCACUCACAGAGAUCACACACAGACCGAGAAAACACUCCAUUUUUUCCUUCUCUUCGUCAUACACACAUAUACGGGAAUCAUCAUCUUGAACCAAGAGAAGGACCUCAUUUUUUUUCUUCCUUUCUCCGGGUCAACAAAAAAAAAUACUUUUUCUUCUUUUUCUUUCUUCUCCAUCAAAACACGCACACUCAAUCGGAGAGAUGAACGGAAAUCAGUAAGGUACCAUCUGGGUUUGAGUUUUCUGGCGAACUCUUCGUCGGAAUUGGCUGUUUCUGGUCGGGUACCAGUAUUACUAAAACCCCGUCAUCUCUGAUUUUAUCGGAGAAAUUCUCAUCGAGAAACGUCAGCGGUCAAUCCCUGUCAUACACCGUAGCUCCGAUGGAGUAAGUCUUGUCAGAAAGUUCAUAAAAAAUCGGCGACGCGAUCGUAAAGCUAGGCGCGAGUUUCGCCUCUCUCGUGUAAUUAUCGAUUGCUUUGGCGAAAAAUAGUGUUGGAAUAUGUCGAAGUUGGACUGAUUUCGUUGUUGGGGCCUGUAUGAGGUCCAUUGGUUCCCUAAGCUCUCGUCGCUUUUAAAAUCGAUUCAAGUUGAUUGAAUAAAGUAACAUUGAGGUCCAAUAUCUCAACUCCUUUUUAUUUUACUCAAUUUGAUAUAUUGAUGUCGUGACUAGCGUGUUUCGUGAUGAUUGAUGAUAUAGUUUUGAUCGUAUGUUUGAAUAUCUAUGAUUGUCGUGGCUUUGAUUGGUUAUUUCUAUAUUGAAGUUGAUUGUUUGAUUGAAAAAAAUGAGAUUUGGGGGGCGGAAAUUAAAACGUUGGUAA
rnacentral:lncRNA from 1 species